AGAUCAAAUUGUUGGUCGUGCCUCGGUACGCACUGGCAUUAUUGAUUUCUCCCUUCUGAAGAACCUUGAUGUCAUUAAUUUGGUGUCUUGGGGAAUCAGGACCGUUACUUUGAAAAAAUUAGAGUGUUUAAAGCAGGCUCACGCUUGAAUACAUUAGCAUGGAAUAAUGAAAUAAGACGUUUGAUUCUAUUUUGUUGGUUUUUAGGAUCGACGUAAUGAUUAAUAGGGAUAGUUGGGC
rnacentral:rRNA from 1 species